rnacentral:rRNA from 1 species
GACGAACGCUGGCGGCGUGCUUAACACAUGCAAGUCGAACGGAAAGGCCCUGCUUUUGUGGGGUGCUCGAGUGGCGAACGGGUGAGUAACACGUGAGUAACCUGCCCUUGACUUUGGGAUAACUACAGGAAACUGGGGCUAAUACCGGAUAGGAGCUCCUGCUGCAUGGUGGGGGUUGGAAAGUUUCGGCGGUUGGGGAUGGACUCGCGGCUUAUCAGCUUGUUGGUGGGGUAGUGGCUUACCAAGGCUUUGACGGGUCGCCGGCCUGAGAGGGUGGCCGGCCACAUUGGGCCUGAGGUACGGCCCAGACUCCUACGGGAGGCAGCAGUGGGGAAUAUUGCACAAUGGGCGGAAGCCUGAUGCAGCAACGCCGCGUGCGGGAUGACGGCCUUCGGGUUGUAAACCGCUUUCGCCUGUGACGAAGCGUGAGUGACGGUAAUGGGUAAAGAAGCACCGGCUAACUACGUG